CCUACGGGAGGCAGCAGUGAGGAAUAUUGGUCAAUGGUCGGGAGACUGAACCAGCCAAGCCGCGUGAGGGAUGAAGGUACAGAGUAUCGUAAACCUCUUUUGUCAGGGAACAAAGGCGGGGACGUGUCCCCGGAUGAGUGUACCUGACGAAAAAGCAUCGGCUAACUCCGUGCCAGCAGCCGCGGUAAUACGGAGGAUGCGAGCGUUAUCCGGAUUUAUUGGGUUUAAAGGGUGCGCAGGCGGUCUGUUAAGUCAGCGGUCAAAGCCCGGGGCUCAACCCCGGCCCGCCGUUGAAACUGGCAGUCUAGAGUUGGAGAGAAGUAUGCGGAAUGCGCGGUGUAGCGGUGAAAUGCAUAGAUAUCGCGCAGAACUCCGAUUGCGAAGGCAGCAUGCCGGCUCCACACUGACGCUGAGGCACGAAAGCGUGGGUAUCGAACAGGAUUAGAUACCCGUGUAGUC
rnacentral:rRNA from 1 species